GACGAACUGUCCAAACGUUGUUCGGAAUCACUGGGCUUAAAGGGCGCGUAGGCGGUCAAACAAGUCAGGGGUGAAAUCCUGCAGCUCAACUGUAGAAGUGCCUCUGAUACUGUUUGCCUAGAGGGAGAUAGGGGUGUGCGGAACUUCCAGUGGAGCGGUGAAAUGCGUUGAUAUUGGAAGGAACGCCAGCAGCGAAAGCGGCACACUGGGCCUUUUCUGACGCUGAGGCACGAAAGACAGGGGAGCGAACGGG
rnacentral:rRNA from 1 species